rnacentral:rRNA from 1 species
ACUGAAUAGAUACCCAGGUAGUCCACGCCGUAAACGAUGAUCACUAGGUGUGUGCGGUAUCGACCCCGCACGUGCCGUAGCUAACGCAUGAAGUGAUCCGCCUGGGGUAGUACGGCCGCAAGGUUGAAACUCAAACGGAAUUGACGGGGGUCCCGCACAAGCGGUGGAGCAUGUGGAUUAAUACGUCACUAACCGUAGAACCUUACCCGAGGCUUGACAUCCCGUAGAACCCCGGCUGAAACGGCGGGGGUUGCCUCGCAAGAGGAGCUAGGAGACAGGUGUUGCAUGGCUGUCGUCAGCUCGUGUCGUGAGAUGUUGGGUUUAAACGUU